rnacentral:rRNA from 1 species
AUGGUAUUGAGGAAUCAUGAUGGGAGCGUUAUCUUCUCAGCAUACAGAUACAUAUUUAACUGCAACAAAGCGUUGGAAGCGGAGUUGCAUGCACUAAUGCAAGGCAUGGCGCUAGCAAUCCAACAUUUUGAGCUACCUGUCAUAGUCCAGUCGGACUCUUCCGUCGCCCUGUCCGCCCUGUCGGGCGACAGUUUAUCUAGAUCUGCCUAUGGGCACUUAGUUACUGAAAUUCGUCACCUAAUGGUAGAUAGAGUUUUCAUUCCUAUGAAGAUUAGUUGUGUGCAGAAUAGGGUAGCAGAUCGUUUGGCCCUGUAUAGUCGUACAGAGCGUGCUACUGUUGUAUGGCUUGGCCGAGGUCCGCCCUGUAUCGAGGAUCUCUUGCCUCGCGAUUGUAACCCUAUACCUUUGGAAUAA